GGGGAUGUAGCUCAGCUGGGAGAGCGCCUGGUUUGCAACCAGGAGGUCGUGGGUUCGAGUCCCAUCAUCUCCACCA
rnacentral:tRNA from 1 species